CGGAGCUAUAAGUCCGCUGUGAAAUCCACUCGCUUAACGUGUGGGCGUGCAGCGGAUACUGUAGCUCUAGGGACCGGAUGGCGUCAAGGCUAUUCUCAGGGUAGGAGUGAAAUCCUAAAAUCCUGAGAGGAGCACCAGUGGAGAAAUCGCUUGACGAAUACGGAUCCGACGGUGAGGAACGAAAGCCGGGGGAGCAAAGCGGAUUAGAUACCCGCGUAGUCCCGGCCGUAAACAAUGUGCGUUUGAUGUCGAGCAACCCUCGUGGUUGCUCGGUGCCGAAGGAAAACCGUUAAACGCACCGCCUGGGAA
rnacentral:rRNA from 1 species